rnacentral:lncRNA from 1 species
AUGGCCAAGCGCCGCCGCCCAAAGAAGCGGCGGAGGGCGGGGGAAGAGGACGGCCGUUCCGGGUUCCGCCUGAGCCCGCAGCGCAGGACAAGGAGGCAGGAGCGGCGCGGUGAGAGAGAGGCAGAUGAAGGGGAGGCGACGUCUCUUCCAGGGCCGUGCGAGGCCCAGGACGCCGGGGCCCCGGAGGACGAGGACGACGAGGAGCAGGCGGUGGCGGCAGCUCCUCACGCUCACACGGCCACUGCUUCCCCGCCUCCCGGCUCCGCCCGCCGCGCCGCCGCUGUCGCACGGCAUGCUGGGAGCGAGGGGCGGGGUCGGCGCCUGCCGGGCCUGGGGAGAGAGGCGGGUCCUGUCGGCGGCGGGGCGGGGCCGAGAGAGGCGGGGCCGAUAGCAGGCCGCCCCGCCCCCCACGUCCCCUGGCUCGUCAACUGCGCCGAAGUCUGGGCACCGCGAUGACGAAUCCUGGGACAGGGGAUCUCCACUACCGCGGCCACACACUUUUCUCCCAAACGCUCCCGGGAAAACACCGGACCCCUGAGGGCCGGGCAGUCAGGUGUAAACAGGCGUCCAAUCCAGGACCUGCAGUGGGGGGGGGGGGGCUGGUACCCUGGGGUGCGCGCGCACACAGGCGUGCCCUUGAAUUCACGUGCGCCAGUCUUCCCACUGUCUACGGGGCGGGGUGGAAAGUGAAAAUAGUAAGAUCGAGAGGAGGUUGAUAUCUACCUUCCCAACCUCCACCUGAAAUGUGCCCAUUGAGUCCUGGCACCUUUUACCAUUUCUUCACAAUGAAAAAAACUAAAUGAUGGAAGGGAAGGGAGUAUCCAAGACCACCAAGCCCUGUCCUCUGCAAUGUGAAAUGUGCUUUGAAGCCCUCUCACCCUAAGGCUUGCCCGUCUUCUGCUGCUGAAAGAAGCUGGAGGCCCGGCGCGGUGGCUUAAGCCUGUACCCAGCACUUUGGGAGGCCGAGGUGGGCGGAUCAUCUGAGUUGAGGAGUUCCACACCAGCCUGGCCAACAUGGGGAAAACCGGCCUCCACUAAAAAUACAAAAAGUAGCCGGGCACGGUGGUGGGCGCCUGUAAUCCCAGCUACUCGGGAGGCUGAAACAGGGGAAUCGCUUGAACCCAGUAGGCCAAGGUUGCAGUGAGCCGAGAUCAGGCCAUUGCAGUCCAGCCUGGGCAACAAGAGCGAAAUUCUGUCUCAAAAAAAUAAAAGAAGAGAGAGCGAGAGAGAGGAAGGAAGGAAGGAAGGGAGGGAGGGAGGGAGGGAGGGAGGAAGGAAGGAAGGAAGGAAGGAAGGAAGGAAGGAAGGAAGGAGAGAGAAAGGAGGAAGGGAGGGAAGGAAGGAAGAAAGAAAGAAGGAAGGAGAGAAAGAAAAAGAAAGAAAGGAAAGAAAGAAAGAAAAGAAAGAGCGGCCGGGCACGGUGGCUCACGCCUGUAAUCCCAACACUUUGGGAGGCCAAGGCGGGCAGAGCAGGAGGUCAGGAGAUAGAGACCAUCCUCCCUAACAACCAUCUCUACUAAAAAUACAAAAAAAUUAGCCGGGCGUGGUGAUGGGCGCCUGUAGUCCCAGCUACUCAGGAGGCUGAGGCAGGAGAAUGGCGUGAACCCGGGAGGCGCAGCUUGCAGUGAGCCGAGAUCACGCCACUGCACUCUAGCCUGGGCGACACAGCGAGACUCCGAGAAAGAAAGAAAGAGAGAAAGAAAGAGAGAGAGAGAGACAGAGAGAGAGAGAGAGAGGAAGGAAGGAAGGAAGGAAGGAAGGAAGGAAGGAAGGAAGGAAGGAAGGAAGGAAGGAAGAAGCUGGGAGGAAGGAAGGAGCUGGGAGGGAGGGAGGAAGGAAGGAAGGAAAGAAGGAAGGAAGGAAAGAAGGAAGAAGCUGGGAGGAAGGAAGGAGCUGGGAGGAAGGAAGGAAGGAAGGAAGGAAGGAGCUGGGUAGAGGAGACAUACCUGACCGUCUACCCCAUGACAUGCCCCAUGCCCUAGGGAAAAAAUUCCCUAAAGCAUCUGAUGCAUAACGUGAAUGCAUACACAUUUUUUAAAAGGUGGGCCAGGAUGCUCCUUAAACCUGUAUCUAAACCUUAUCUGCAUAAGGAGUCUUAACCUAUCAUUUUAUGUUGCAAAGAAAACGUCUUUAUAUAUCACUUGUGCAAUUAAAAAUUUUUACCAAAAGUACUUGAAGAUUAUGAGGAGUUGAUACCUCCACACACACGCAUAUCCCCUCCACCUUGGACUCCUUAUGACCACCAAUCCCUCACUAAGGGAGGAUCCUGCUGGUUCUAAAUGAUGAGGACUACAAAAAAUACAAAAAUUAGCCAUCGUGGUAGCGCGUGCCUGUGGUCCCAGGAACUCCCGAGGGUGAGGCAGGAGAAUGACUUGAGUCCAGCAGGUGGAGGCUGCAGUGACCUAUGAUCCUGACACUGCACUCCAGCCUGGGCUACAAAGGGAAGGAAGGGAGGGAGGGAGGCCGCACGGAGGGAGAAGAAGAACAAGAAAAGACGGGCCACCAUGCGUGGCUGACCCUGUAAUCCCAGCAUUUUGGGAGGCUGAGAUGGGUGGAUCACUUGAGGUCAGGAGACCAGCCUGGCAAACAUGGUGAAACCCCAUCUACCAAAAAAAUACAAAAAUUAGCCAGGCAUGUUGGCAGCAUGCCUGUAGUCCCAGCUACUCAGGGAAGCAGAGGCCCGAGAAUUGCUUGAACCCGGGAGCCAGAGGUUGCAGUGAGCCGAGAUCGUGCUACUGAACUCCAGCCUGGGUGACAGAGUAAGACUCUGUCUCAAAAAAAAAAAAAAGAAAGAAAGAAAAAAAGAAAAGAAAAUCAUUUGGGUGAAGUGAUUCAUGCCUGUAAUCCCAGUGAUGGGAGGCUGAGACUGGAAGAUCCUUGAGCCUGGGAGUCGUAGGCCAGCCUGAGCAACAUAGCAAGACCCCCAUUUCUACAAAAAAAUGUUAAUUUUUUUUUUUUUUUUUUUUUUUGGUUUCACUCUUGUUGCCCAGGCUGGAGUGCAAUGGCCUGGUCUCAGCUCACUGCAACCUAGGCCUCCCAGGUUCAAGCAUGUCUACUGCCUCAGCCUCCCAAGUAGCUGAGAUUACAGGCACAUGCCUCCACACCCGGCUAAUUUUGCAUAAAAAUUUUAAAAUUUUUAAAUUAGACAAGUAAGAAAUUGCUUGAGCCACUGGACACAAUCUCUGGUACUACCUUUCUUUUUUUUUUUUUCUCCGUCUGUGGCCUAGGCUAGAGUGCAGUGGCAAGAUCUUGGCUCUGCCUCCUGAGUUCAAGCCAUUCUCCUGUCUCAGCCUCCCGAGUAGCUGGUACUACAGGCGCCCACCACCACACCUGGCUAAUUUUUUUUUUUUUUUUUUUUUUUUUUGUAUUUUUAGUGGAGACGGGGUUUCACCGUGUUACCCAGGAUGGUCUCGAUCUCUUGACCUCCUGAUCCGCCUGCCUGGGCCUCCGAAAGUGCUGGAAUUACAGGCGUGAGCCUGUAAAAAGAGACGCCGGCCCUCUUUUUCUUUAUUGGUCAAAAUAUUAUCCAACUAGGCAUAUGGAUAUGGAGCACAUGCCUGUGAUCCCAAUUACUUGGGAGGCUGAGGUGGGAGAAUCGCUUGAGCCCAGGAGUUUCAGGCUGUGGUGAGUCAUAAUGGUGCCUCUGCAUUCCAGCCUGGGCAACAGGAUGAGACCAUUUUUAAGGGGGCAGAAAAAAUCACUCUGGCUGUGGCAGAUUUCCUUAGGAUAGAUUCCCAGAAGUGGAAUUAUUGGGAAAAGGCUAUUAAUGACUUUAAGUCUUUGGAUACAGACUGUUAAGUUGCUUUCCAGGAAGUUUCUACCAAUGAUACUCUGAUACUUUCUGUGUCCUCACACCACCCUUUGUCAACACUGAAUGUUUUUGAGGGUUAAUUAUUUCUAUGGGAGAAGUUAAAAAAAAAAAAAAAGACAACAAAGAAAUUGCUUCAGGUGGGGCGUGGUGGCUCAUGCCUGUAAUCCCAGCACUUUGGGAGGCUGAGGUGAGAGAAUCACCUGAGCCCCGGAGGUGGAGGUUGCAGUGAGCCUAGAUCAUGCCACUGCACUCCAGCCUGGGUGACAGAGCGAGACUCCAUCUCGAUAAAAUAAAUCAAAUGAAUCAAACGUGAGCAACU